AAUUUCCUAGAUCCAAGCCCAUACUCAUUCCUUAUUUAAGCUAACCUAAUUUCUACCCUCUAUAAAACUAACACCUAGCUAAGAAAAGAGCGGGGCCAUGAAAAAAGUGCGCAGCUUUUCAUCCUCACCAUUGUGAACCACAUUUUUCCUUUCUCAAACUAAUUCCUCCAUGAAAUCUCACCAAAAAAACAAACAUCACCUAUUCAUAGCUGAUUAAAAUCAUCAAAACCCAAUAAUACCAUCAUGUACAAAGCUUAGUAAUCACCGUGUCUAGUAACUGCCUUUCCACCGUGCGAAUCACCAAAAUACCACAAUAUAUUAUGUUCCUCUUAAUCUUUUUAAAAACAGAGCAAAUAUUCUAGGCUAGAGCUUUUCAUGUGGUGCAAGAAUAAAGAUUGAUGAAAUUAGGUACAAUAACAAAGUGAAAAAUCAGACGCGUAUGCUACACAUGAAUUGGAAAAGGAAAAAGGCACAAUCAAAGUUAAAGGGAAAAUAGAAAUAAUUGAGGGAAUCUUCAAUGACUUUAAGGUCUUGGUUGCUUAGAUCUAGUAGCGAGGAUGUCUGUUCCGAGGUUGGAUAUUUCCGGCGAGGUUGCUGGCGAGUCCUCUGUUCUCUUGGUCGAGUUGUUCUUGUUGAAUUCCCACCCUUGUAUUCAAGAAGUGUUUCUGAUAUAAAAGGUCCGUUCCAUCUCACCUUUUGUCAAUUGCUAUCUUAUUUGGUGUUGGAAUGAUAUAUUUAGCCAAAUUCCUUGUUUGUGAUAUUCUGUUCAUAAUUGAAAUUGCUCAUAGUUGGNNNNNNNNNNNNNNNNNNNNNNNNNGGAUGUGAUGAUGCCUAUUCAUAGAAGCAGUUUCAAGGAUAUUUAUUUGGUUUAUGAGUUGAUGGAUACAGAUCUUAAUCAUAUCAUUAAGUCGUCGCAACCUUUUUGUUGGCAUUGCUUUGAAAAUGUAAUAGAAGAUACAGCAAAUUAAUGUGAACAAAUAGUCCAAAUGUUUAAAACCAUCGACCAUACAAAUGAAUUUAUUAGUGGGCCCGUCUUUAAAUAAGCACUAAGUCAUAAUAUCUUCACUUACAAAUGACUUCCAUAAAUUAUGACCUUCACAAUAAUUUCAAACUAGUUUUAGGAAAUAAUUUGAACAUUGUAGCUUGCUUUAGGCGCGAUUAAUAAAUCAUCGUGUCUAUGGGUACGGUUCCCUGGCAUGGUCACGAUACGUAAUCCCCAAUUCGGGUGUGCAUUUCAUGCGACUCAAACGUAACAACUUUGAAUAAUAAUAAAAUACAGAUGUCGUGAAUCGCGGGUGCAUUUCAUGCAGCAUGGUUCGCGGCGUGUUCCAAAACAAACAAGUGUACGACAAUCGUAACUUGUUCAAGAAAUAAUUUUAUAAAUCCUAAAAAACGAUCAAAUGAUUAAAAGCGGUUAUAAAGUUAAAAUUUACAAUUGGCUAAAAACAUGUAGUAAAUUAGAUAAUAGGCCAAUAUUAAUAGUUUAAGCGACCGUGCUAGAACCACGGAACCCCGGAAUGCCUAACACCUUCUCGCGGGGUUAACAGAAUUCCUUACCCAAAUUUUUGUGUUCGCAGACAGUAAAUAGACUCAAUCUUCCUCGAUUCCGGAUUUUAAACCGGUGACUUGGGACACCAUAAAUUAUCCCAAGUGGCGACUAUAAAUUUUAAAUAAAAUAAUCCCGUUUCGAUUGUCAGUUAAAUUGGAAAAAACUCCCUUAUACCCCUCGGGUGGUAAAAAAGGAGGUGUGACACUAGGUAAACCUAACAAUUUGCGCAAUAACAUAAAUGAAAAUAGAAUUUAACAGCUAGACUGCAACAGAUAACUAUAUAAUGAUAAAAUGUCGCUCGGCAUGUACAAGUAAACCAGCACUCGAGUAUACACAAUAUUUCCAAAACCCGGUAAUCAUAAGUCACAAACUCUAAUAAUUUUUCUAACUGUUUCUAUACAUCAAUAACUAGAAGAAAUAAAGGAGGAACAACAUAAAAGGGAUAGAGGGGGACUCGGAGGUCUACGGAGGCAGGUAGAUAUACCUUGAAGUGUCUUGAGCAGCAGCUAUGCGACUAAUAGCGGGACUGGUAGGAGGUACCGGGACCUACACACAAAACAUGUGCAUAAGAGUAGAAUGAAUACACCAUAAUGGUACCAGUAAGUGACAAGCCUAACCUUAGUAGAGUAGUGACGAGGUCAGGUCAGGACCCCAAUGGUAUAUAAUAAGCAAGACAGAAGAUAUAAUAAUGUAAAUAGGCUGAGAAUCUAACAAGGAGAAUUACCAAAAAUAACAACACAAUACAUAGAGAUAAAUAAUAGGGGCGCUCCCGAGAUACCGUUUCGUAGUCCCAAAAGUAAAUGAUAAACAGGGGAUCUCUCGAGAUACCGUCUCGUAGUCCCAAAAGUAAAUAUACAUGGAGAUCUCCUAAGAUGCCGCCUCGUAGUCUCAAAAGUAAAUGUGCAGGAGGAUAUCCCUAGGUACCGCCUCAUAGUCCAAAAGUAAAUGUGCAGGAGGAUCUCCCGAGGUACCUCCUCGUAGUCCCAAAGGUAAACACACAGCUCGAAACAUAUGAAAACAACAUUUAACAAUAAGAACUCUACAAUUUAAGACUGAUACGAAUCAAGGAAUAAUAGGAAUUCAACUAAGCAUGCCGCAUAGAUUUCAAAUAAGCAUUUAAGACAUGUAGGCAUACGAUACUAGGCUAAACAGGAUAACAACACAUGCGGGUAUAACUCAAUGAAGAUGUAACAUGUUACUACUCAGUGAAACCCGAAUUUUUCAACAAUUAGCCUGUGUACGCAUUCUUCACCUUGCAUACACAUCACUCGCAUAUCACAGAAAUAUCACAACAGUACCAAACACUAAGGGGAUUUUCCCCACACAAGGUUAGGCAAGCCACUUACCUUGCACCAAGCUAAUCAAUUAGUAAAAAUGCCUUUUCUGCAAUUUUUCGACUCCGAGUGGCCCAAAUCUAGCCAAAAACAAUCACAUACCUUAAAUAUAACUAUAAGAAACUAAUCUAAUUAAUGAAAUUAAGUUAUUAUCAAGAAAUUAGAAAUUCACCCCAAAAUGUAAACCCGAGCUCACGUCUCAGAAUCGAGUAAAAGUAAAAAAACGAACACCCAUUCAGCCACAAGUUCACUCGUACCAAAAUUACUCAAAUCUGAUCUCAAAAUCUCAAACAAAACCCAAAAAUUUGGUUGAAGAACUUUCAAACUUUUUCUCCAAUUUUCUCAACCCAAAUCCUUAAUUAAAUGAUAAAAUUAACUAUAGGUUAUGGAAUAUAACCAUAAAUGAGUUAAGAAUCAAUACCAUAUCGCUUCAUCUAAAAAUCCCUUAAAUUAUCGCCUAAAUCUGAGCUCUCAAGUCCCAAAGUGAAAAUGAGAUCAAACCCUCAUAAUUUCCCCCUUUCUGCCCUGUGAUCUCGCACAUGCGGACCCCCAGUCGCACCUGCAAUGCCGCACUUGCCGAAUUUCCAUUGCAGGUGCGGAAUUGACUUAAGACACCUGGGUCUGCUUCUGCGAUCAAGUAGCCACACCUACGCACUUGCGGAUAAUUGUCCGCUUAUGCGAAAUCCUUACCCAGCUCGACUCCCGCAUCUGCGAUCACUUCUCCGCAGGAGCGGCUCCACUUCUGCGGUCCUUUUGUCGUACCUACGACCACUGGCUAUCCAUAAUAGGGCCACAUCUGCGGUCAACGUCACCGCAGGUGUGAUGACACUAGAAGUUGAAAAACUUCAGCAAUUCUCACAAGUCUAAAAUUUAUCCGAAAAUAAUUUGAAACACACCCGAGUCCCCCGGGACCUCAAUCAAAUAUAUAAACAAGUCCUAAACACCAUACGAACUUAACCAAGCCCUCAAAUCACAUCAAACAAUAACAAAAAAAUGAAUCACACUCCAAUUCAAACUUAUUGAACUUGAAAUUUCAAACUUCUACAACCGAUACCGAAACCUAUCAAAACAUGUACGAUUGACCUCAAAUAUUGAACAAAAGUCAUAUUCGACAUUACUGACCUACUCUAGCUUUCAGAAUCAGAAUCCGACCUCGAUAUCAAAAAUUCCACUCACGGUCUAACUUCCUAAAAAUUUAACUUUUGCCAUUUCAAGCCUAAUUCAGUUACUGACCUCGAAAUCACAAUCCGAACACGCUCUUAAAUCCAAAAUCACCCAACGAAGCUAACAUAACUGAUAAAACUCCAUUCUGGAGUCAUCUUCAUAUAUUUCCAACUACGGUCAAAAUCCUAGAACUUAAGCUUCCGUUUUAGAGACUAAGUGUCUCAAAUCACUCCGAAACCAAAACAAAACUUUCUGAAAAGUUACAUAAGUAGAAAAAGAUACGGGAAAAACAAUAAUUAAGGGAUCGGAACUAAUACUCUCAAAAUGACCGACCGGAUCAUUCCAUUAGGGCCCUAAUCCUGGUUAAUUUGUUCAUCAUUUUCUCACAUAAGUCUACCAUCAUCUGCCUUCCCUUUGUAUCAAAUUUUGUGACAUGAACAUCCAACAUUGAUAGAAUCCAAGUGUCAUCUCGGAUAUAAGCAUAAUAAAUUAAUAAUCAUGAUUAAUUGCACCUCAAGAGAUAUAACUAUCCGGAGAAGAAAAAAAUGCCUAUUAGAGAGUGUUUUUCUCUUAAAUGGGUGUUAUACAAUGCAAAUCUUAACGGGUUUAAAUGAUUUCUCUUCUAUGGAGCUGUAGUUGUUUUACCCAUUCAGUGGGUUCACUUAACACCAUCAAUUCCUAUUACUUCAUUAACACUAUCAGAUCCUAUUACUUCACUACUUCAUAAACAAGAAAAAAUAUUUGCUCUCUGACUCAAACAACUGUGACUAUCUCUAAACAAUCUAUGUUAUGUUUUUAAGCUAUUUGUCACAUGAUCCUAUUUUCUGCGUUUGUAUUUCCUUUUUAUCAUGUCAAAAGAAAACUUUAAACCGCAAAUCUUUGCAUAAUAGUUGGGUUAUAUAAGUCGUAAAAUUGCAAUAUAUAAGAUGCAAUUUGUAAUUGCGAUAUAUACAUCGAAAUUGAAAAUUGCGAUAUAUGCAUUUAUAUUGCGAAGUAUAAAUCGCAUUUACCAAUUGCAAUUUAUAUAUUGUAUUUACUAAUUCUUUAUAAGUGCCAUUUGCCAAUGUAAAUGCCUAUAUUUUGACCAUAUUUUUCUAUUUGAUUUUGUGUUAUUAGUUUGAAAUAUAAUAAUAGAAUGGUAAAGAAUUGGGCCAAUUAGUUUUUGUUUUAUCAGUUGGGCCUAAAUCAUGCCAAAUCAAAGGUCCAAUCCGUUUGAACUGUCCCAGCCUAGGCUUGUCUGAUGGAGCAUUCAAGCAACAUAGUUUCAAGGCAAAACUACGUCGUUUUAUUUACUGAAUCAGAUAUUAAAUCUCACCAGUCCAUGCCCUGAUGAUCCAACGACUGAAGAUCAAUCCCCCACUCAGGUAUUUAAACCCCUAAAUACCAAAAUAUUUGCUCUAUUUUCCCUAUUUCCUUUCUUUCUCUCCUCUGUCCUCACUCUCUUAAACUCCCCGCGUCUCCACUACCCCUCACGGUGGCUCUGCUGGCCGAAAAUCGCCACCACCGGCCGGUCUUCAUCCAAACCCCAUAAAACCUUACAACAAUCUCUUUCUCUUUUUACCCUCUCUCCUAAUUCGAGCCCCAAAUCUUCAAAAAUCCCUCUAAAUUCUGUGAAAUCAAAACCUUAGAUAGCCGCCAUUUAUUUUCCUCUUCAAUUUCACGAAGAACCAGUGACUACACCCCCCACAAAAACUACAUGAACAUGUAGAUCUCAAUGAGAUCUACACUUUCCUUUUAACUUCAUCCCAAAAACACCACCGCCGCCGAUCCAACUAGCCCACUAUCCAAGCCACCCUUACCAUUGACAAGCCUCAAUGUUUAUAAUAUUUUUGACCCAUGGACACCCAUUUCCUUUAGGUAUGAAUCUGAAUUUAUUGAAUUUAGCGUCUGCCAAAAUGAAACGUGUGCUUCAAGGUCAGACAGCCACGUUUUGAUGACCCCGACAUCUCUUCGUUGCUCGAUUUGGCAUCGACUUUCCCUCAUAUGGUAAAACCCUACCUCCCUUUCUUUUUAUUUUUCUUUCUUUCCUUUUCUGUUUUUGUUUUUGCUAUUUAGAUUUCAGUUGAUUUCUUCGCUUGAUUUGGUCAUUCCUGAUUCAUUUGGCUGCACUAAUAUAAUUUGAAAUAGUUGUAUUAUCUAAUCGUUAGUCAUUUUUUGCUAUUAAUUAUUGUCUGAUAGUGCAGCAAUACUAUGUUUAAAUUUGUUUAGUGCAAUAGGUUAUAGUUUCAGUUGCUCUAUGUUAAUUUUCUCAUAAAUCAAACUGAUUUUAGUCUGGUUUAUUUGAAUGCUUAGCUUGGUUACGAUUGAAGUCAUAUUUACUUUGUCAAUUCAAUUAGUGAGUUAAGUUCUAGUUUAAGUUUGAUUUAUGUUGAUCUAGUUUGGUGUUGAUAGUUUAAAGUUGGAUGGUAGAUGAGUUUAAUCAUGAAAUAUGACACUUUAGUAGCCUACUUCUUACUAGUAGGGUGGCUGAAAGGACCCCUUUCCUCCGUACUUCUGCCACAGUAGGUUUCAGGCUAUCAUUUCACCUUUUGGGAAGCCUUUGAACUGUGUUUAGCAUACAAAAUCGAUUUUUUUAGAUUGAUUUUUGGUGAAUCAAAAUUUGUCCAAAAAAUGACUUUCUUUGCCUACUUACGGGCUGCUCUUUCCUUACUUUAAGCUUACAAAACUAUCAUAUAUAGAAGACAUCUUUUACACACUAAAAACACAUAACUAAAUAGAGUAAAACAACAGCUAAAAUUUUAUAGUGAGAGCUGAAACUGGUGAGCUUCGGGUGAAUGUUUCUCAGAGUGUAUCACUUGUGAGAAAAUAAAGGAAUCCUUGGUGGUUGCCGGAGUAAGUAGCUACUGGUAUCAAAUACUUUCUUGCUAGAUUUUUCUGGGUUUUUUUCUCGGGUUAUAAGUUGUUGAUUUUGUUGCUGAAAUUCAAUUCCUCCCUUGAUGACAUUUUCUUUCUACUAUCCAGGUAAUUUUCUUAAAAUGCUACUAUAAUUUUGAGUCAAGAUUGAAUGGACACGAAGUAAUUUGAGUUUCUUUUCAAUUUAUUUUAAGCUUUAAAAGCACUUUGUUCUUGUAAGGUUUUGUGUGUGAGCAUAUAUGAUAAAUUUUGGACUUCUAUGUAUAUUCUAGUUGACAAAAUGUCUUAAACCUUCUGGUUCUUAGUUGCUUUGUUAUUAUGACUCACUAUCACCUUUGUUUCAUGAAACUGCUAGUAAAACAAAAAUGCAAGUGAUGCAUAUCCAGGUAUUUAAGUUGGUAGUGUUAAACUCUUUCAGAUAAAGUUCAUUCGUCACCCGUCUUGAUAAUUUAUUACAUGUUAAACAUCACGCUACACAAGCGAUUUCAUGAAGUUAAAACACGCCUAUUAUUUGCCUAGCUUUUAAAUUAAUUACUAAGGCGAAUAAGUUGUUAAAAUUUUGGAAAGAAAAACUAGCUUUUCAUUUAAAGAAAAGAACAUCUCUAAACUCGUUGGUAGGAAAAGCCACGUUAUUACAAAGAUAGAUAUGCUAAAAUAUUUGAAGUAAGAUUACUUUGAUUUUCAUAGUUCAAAACAAAGUGCUAGGCUUGUUCUAACUUUUAAAGUAUAGAGCCAGCCUAUGGGAAUUUGGACUACUAGUUCACUUUGAAUAUCACAUGGCCAUUAGGCCAAAUUAUUUUAUAUUGGGCUUUGCAUGGCAUUGGGAUAGCUUUUACUUAAAUAGGAAAAGUGGACCAAUAACUCACAAAAAGAAAUAGACCCGCAGCCUAUUGCUUUUUGGUCUAUCCAGCAAAGAAUGGCACAUACCUAUAACAAGAAAGUGCGCCGAAGACACUUUGAGGUAGGCCAACUCGUUUUAAAAUCAAUCUUUCCAUACCAGGUUAAAGCUAAAGGAAAGUUCGCCCCGAACUGGCAAGGACCCUAUAUCAUCAAGUAAGUGUUACCAAAAGGGGCCUUGCACUUGGAAGAUGAAGAUGGAUGGGUAUCAGACAUGACCAUUAACGCAAAUGCAGUCAAAAUAUAUUAUAUUUCAUAUAUACUCACUGUAGAACUUUCACGCAUGAUUUUCUUAGAUCGAGACGACGAAGGCUAUCAUUGCUCACUAUCCCAAAUAGGUAUCACCCUUUUGUUAACCCUUUUGAGUCAUAUUUGCAUUCUUUGUUUUUCCUCUUUUUGGAACUGUGUGCUUGUUAAAACAAAAAAGAAAAAAAAGAAAAAAAACAGCAAUCAAACAACAAAUCUUAUAAGUUAGUGAACUAUGUUCGACCUGAUUUUAAAAGUAUAUGUAGGCAGCCCUAACCUGGGUUCGGUCCCAUCACAACAAAAAUUCAUAUCCACAAUACUCCAAAAUUGGGGUAGGAAUUUGUUUUAUUUUUAUGGUAAUUCUUUAAAAAUGGUUCAUAAAGUUGUAAUUCAGUUCGAGCUUCUUUUCACCUUUUCCCGUUAAGACCUUCCAAUCGAUCUUUGAGAAUGUUGAAAUCACCAUGCCAAGAUGUCGGACCACUUGAUGCAUACAAUCAAGGGCGGCAGAAAAAAAGAAAAAAGAAAACUAGAGAGUCUUAAUGGUGAAAACCCAAAUGGGCACCAUAAGGCAAUAUUGAGUAGAGAAAUAAGUGUCUUAUUGGUGGAAAGCCAUAUGAGCAACAUAAGGUGAUGAUGAGUAGAGAAAUGAGAGAGCGAAAACCUGCAUAAGGCACUACUGGCCGAACGAAGGUCUUCAAUACUCAGGCAUGAGCACAACCAAGGACUCAGUUUCCAGAUGAACGUUUGCAAUAGAUUUUGAGAUUUAGACAGCUCAGACGGAUCAGGCAUCCAAUCCAAAAUACAUGUCAUGAUUCAUUGAAAUCAGCACAUACCUCCAGAUAAGUCUCCAUAUUCCUUUCCCCAAAAGGGACACCUUUUCCUUAAACAUAGUUCUUUUUCACUAUCAAUAAUUCAUCUAUUUUGCGCAUAAUUUUCUUUGAAUCCCUUUUAGUGUCUAAUCUUGCAUCAAAAGCAAAGCAAAGAAAUGGCUGUAAAACAGGCAAUAGCUUCCCUAUAAUAUCGAGCACAAUUUGGGGCAUAUACGACAUUGACAACGGCACAAAUCCAUCUUUGAUCUCUUUUGAUCAACCGAAUAAAGUGUUUCAAAGAAAUCAAAAAGGUCGCUAAGCAAGAACUUGCUUCAUGGGAAAAGUUGAUAGCACCACGACACAAAUAGGUAUUGGGUGCAAGAAAAUCAAGUUUGAUUUGUAAACAAAAAACAAACCGCCAAAGUAAAGACGUGCUUUCUAGACAAGGGUCCACAUCACUUUAAACAUCCGGGUACGAAACAGUCAGAGGCAACACCAGAAAGCCAAGGUCUCCAGAAAGUGAUAAAUUUCCAAGCAACUCGGUACCACACUGACAGAACCAGUCCUCUGACAGCGGGGUGGCCUGGAAUUAAAAGUACUUAGAGCAUUAAAGCCACAAACCGACCACCACUUUGAAAACUCAUAAUUUUUUCUUCGUUUGAAGUAGAAACAAAGCAGUGCAGAAUGGCAAUUCUUAAAGGAUGAAUAUAACCAAAAGUAAGUUCCUCAAAAUCUCCUUUUUUUUAGCAUGCAUCACUAUUGUUCAUACCUCCCAUUUUCGUAGCUUAACUAAGGUAGAACUUUUUCGCCUGGAAGGCUCCAAAUCAUAUUUUCGGAUAGAAGUACUCUUCACUCAUGCUGUUUAAUGUAACUUAACUCAGUUAGAACCUUUACGCCUAGGGAGAUAUAGCUCAUAUUUCUGGGUAGAUGUACUCUUCGCUCAACCCAUUUUCGUAGCUUAACUCACGUAGAACCUUUUCACCUAGGGAUAUCUAGCUCAUAUGUUCUGGUAGAAGUACUCUUCGCUCAGGCUCUUUUACGUAGCUUAACUCAGGUAAAACCUUUUCGCCUAGGGGGAUCCAAGUCAUAUUUAUGGGUAGAAGUACUCUUCGCUCAGGCUAUUUUACGUAGCUUAACUUAGGUAGAACCUUUUCGCCUAGGGGAUCCAACUCAUAUUUCCGGGUAGAAGUACUCUUCGCUUAGCCCAUUUUCAUAGCUUAACUCAGGUAGAACCUUUUCUUCUAGGGGGAUCCAGCUCAUAUUUUCGGGUAGGAGUACUCUUUGCUCAAGCUAUUUUACGUAGCUUAACUCAUGUAGAACCUUUUCUUCUAGGGGGAUCUAGCUCAUAUUUUCGGGUAAAAUACUCUUCACGUUUUACGUAGCUUAACUCAGGUAUAACCUUUUCACCUAGGGGGAAUCCAACUCAUAUUUCUGGGUAGAAGUACUCUUCUUUCAUAUCAUUUUUGUAGCUUAACUCAAGUAGAACCUUUUCUCCUAGGGGAUCCUGCUCAUAUUUCCGGGUAGAAGUAUUCUUCGCUCAGGCUGUUUUAUGUAGCUUAACUCAGGUAGAACCUUUUCGCUUAGGGGGGUCCAGCUCAUAUUUUCGGGUAGAAGUACUUUUCGCUCAGCCCAUUUUUGUAGCUUAACUCAAGUAAAACCUUUUCGCCUAGGGGAUCCAGCUCAUAUUUUCGAGUAGAGGUACUCUGCGCUCAGACUGUUUUACUUAGCUCAACUCAGGUAGAACCUUUUCGCCUACGGGGAUUAACUCAUAUUUUUAGGUAGAAGUACUCUUCGUUCAGGCUGUUUUACGCAGCUUAACUCUGGUAUAAUCUUUUUUCCUGGGGGGAUCCAGCUCAUAUUUCCGGAUAGAAGUACUCUUCGCUCAGAUCAUUUUCGUAGCUUAACUCAGGUAGAACCUUUUUGCCUAGUGGGAUCCAACUUAUAUUUUUUGGUUAGAAGUACUCUUCGCUCAGGCUGUUCUACAUACCGUAACUCAAGUAGAACCUUUUCCCCUAGGAAGAUCAAGCCUAUAUUUUUGGAUAGAAGUAUGCUUUCGCAGCCCAUUUUCGUAGCUUAACUCAGGCAGAACCUUUUCGCCUAGGGGGAUCCAACUCAUAUUUCCGGGUAGGAGUACUCUUUGCUAAGGCUGUUUUACGUAGCUUAACUCAGGUAAAACCUUUUUCGCCUAGAGGGAUUCAGCACUUUAUCAAUAAUACAGGGCGCCAACCCCUAGUUAUAUUUCUUUCAGUAAUACAGGGUACCAACUCCUGGUUAUAUUCCUUCCUAGUGAUAUAGGACGCCAACUCCUGGUUAUAUUUCAUAGUGAAAUAGGGUGGCAACUCCUGGUUACAUUCCUUUACAUUUCCUAUCGGUAAUAUAGGGCACCAUCCCCUGGUUACAUUCUAUCCCUUAAUACAAAGGUACUAAGCCAUGAUUACAUUUCUUUUCAGUAAUUCCAGGCACAAUCUUCAGGUUAUGUUCUCUCUCAUUAACUCAUGAUACUCCCCCUAGUUGCAUAUCCUCACAUAUCUAGUUUAUACAAAGACUGUUAAUUGGGUCGGGCUAGCCCUAUCAUAGCUCGAUUCGACUCGGUUUAGCCCGGGUCAACCCGGUACGCUAGGGGGUGGGACGAGUUGGGGAGGGUUUGGGGGAGCCAGGCGGGAAUGAACAUAUUUUGAUAACCGGUGCCUCGGAACCUGGUUAGCCUAGUUACCCUUUACCGGGCUACAAGUCGGUUUAGCCAGGUUACAAUUGUGUUAAUUUUUUUUUAAAAUUUAUGACCGUUGCCAACGGUCAAAUUCAAAAAUGACCAUUGGGCAACGGUCAUUUUUGCUAAAAUGGCCGUUCCGGCCUACCCUUUUAAGAAAAUAGCCCCCCUCCCCCACCCCUAAUAAUUGAUAAAUUACAAUUUUAACGUUUUAAAAACUAUAAAUAAACCCCCUUCUUCUUCAUUUUUUUCUCACAAUUUUCUCUCUUACUACUCUAAUUAUCUCUUGAUAAUAUUGUUUAUUUCCCUUUAAUUCUCAAUUACUUAUUAUUUCAAGUUUCAUCAAAUAUCUACUUUAGUCACUAAAAAAUUAUAAUUAUCAAAUAUUAGGUAUUCAAGUGAAGCGUGGUAUCAAUAUUCAAUCUCAUCAAAUAUCAAAUAUUACUCUAUCAACUGAAGUUUGAUAUCAAAUUUAGUGCGACAUCCGAAAUCCCGGUAUACUCGUUCAGUUUCAACAUCUGAGAAUGGUGCUUGGGAGGAUAAUGAUAAUGUUGAAGAUUAUUUGAUUUGGUCUACACUAGGAGAUCAUCAACAAACCAGUCGCAUCAGAGAGGACAUUUAGCCAAGCAAGGUAGAAACUAGGAGAUAUCGUCAUUCAUUGGGUAGCAACGCUUUGGAAAUUCUAGUGUGCUUUAGAAAUUGGACAAGAUCAGAACGAUGAAAUCAAGGGCGUGAAGAGGUAGAUGAAAUGGAGGACCAAGAAAUUAGAGAUAUAAUGGUUUAUGAUUCCGAUUAAAGCAAUGCCGAAAAUCAAGAACCUCAUGUUGACAUGGAUCAACUUACAAAAAUGAUGCAAAGCAUGUGAUGUACUUUUUUCUUCUUUUUAUAAUAGUUGUAAAAUUUUAAUUUGCAAGUUCAAAAAUAAAAAAAAAUCAAAAUAAGACUAGCAAAUUAAUUUGAAGUAUUAUUUAUUAUUCAAUAAAAAUAUAAAACGAAAGCCUUCAGAGUUUGAUCCUUACAUAUUAGUCUUAUUAAAUAAUUUUUUGUAGCCACUUACUUUCAAAUUUCAAAUUUAAUAUUUUAAAAAUCAAAUUUAAAACUUUAAACUUUAAUGUUUAAAGUUUAAUUCUAAGCCUUAAAAGUUUGCAAACACUUAAGUAUCAAUAAUAUUGAAUAAGAAAAAUAAAAUAUACUAAAAAAAGUAACUCGGCCUGGUUCGGACCCGUUAAUCCCAAAUCCGGACGGGCCCUAAUUAGACCAAACUUUCCCAACCCCUUACCAGCUCGUUUACCUAGCCCACUAACCAGUCGGGAACACUAACCGGACGGGCUAUUUUUUUCGUUUACAUCCUGAACCAGCCCAUCCAAUUAACACCUAUACUUUAUACUACUAGAUUUGUCUUCCUUUCAACAAAGUAGAUAGUUUAUCGCUUUCUCUAAUAACUCACAAAAUUUUCCUAGUACCAAACUGGAGCAAAAAAUUUUUGUUCGUUUUGCUCAUCUUUGAUGGCUUUGCAGGACCCCUGCCGUAUAGGGUGAUUAUAACAUGUACUUUUGGGGUGAGACUAGGGUGAUUAACAUGAUAAGAAGGUUAUGUUAUGAAUUAGUUUAGUCAUAUGAUAGCCGUGUGUUAUGUUUUGAAGUCAAGCGAGUUGUUGAACAAAAGCCGAUGAAAGAAAGUCAUCACAAGUUACAUUCAUAAGUUUUACUAAAAAGUUGGGUCCAAUGUAAUUGCGAUUUUCUCCAAAUAUACUUAGAAUUAUGGAGUGUUCCACCCAUAAAAUUGAAGCUAUAUGAGUCUAUUUUCUAACACAUUAAACCGUUUAUUAUUAUGACAUCGGAAUAGAGAGAUAUAUGUAUUUUUGCGAGACUGUGCAGGCUGCUAGGUGACAAGUAGGUGUGUCACCUACUUGGUUAAAUGAGAGCCCAAAAAGAGGCAAUUUUGGGUCAGCAAAAGAGCCCAUUUAAGGGCUUAUCUCCUAAAAUAUAAACCUCAUUAUAUAUCACAAAUAAAUAGACCUAAACCCUUGCAAACUUCCUCCCAAAAAUUACACACAAACCCUAAUUGAUUUUCUCUCCCUUUCAAGUUCUAAUUGGAGGCAAAACCUAGAGUUUGAAGAACCAAUAUAGGAGCUGAGUUAUCCAACAAACAAGGUAAUUUUACUUCUCUCUUUCAUCAAUUUUUUCUUCUGUAAAUUCAUGGUAAGUCGUUCUAUAGUUGUAAGAACUCACGGGACGGUGAUUGGAAGCCGUGAGUUCAAGUUAUUCACUUGUAGCAGACUAUCUUGUGGACUAUUUUGUGUUGCUAUUGGGAUGCGUGUUUUACUACUAUUUUGUGGGGUUUUGGAGGAGGAAGGGCGUGGAUGAACACCAUAUAGAUGUAGGGUGGUGGUCUGAUUGUUCGUCGUAACAUUUUUGGGUCGUUUGACACUACUAAAGUGGUCGUUUUGUGUAUGAAGAGAUUGCGGUGUGUUGAGAUAUUUUGUAGUAUUUUAUGGUGUAUAUAAGGCUGGAAAUUAAUGUAUAUAUGUUGUUGUUAUUGUUGUGUUCUUGUGUUGUUGGUGUUAUCUUGAAUUUGGAAGAAGUAAGGAUUAUAGGGGAGUUGUUACCCUUUUUUGUACAAAAUAAGCUUGUCGUUCGUUGUGCAAUAGUUGUACCUUUCGCAACUUAAUGAUAUUAUUAUUAUCGUUGUUGUAGAUUAAUGUGUGAAGAGGCGAGCUCAACUUGGUGAUUGGAAAUAUUGUGAUAUGGUAUGUUAAGGCUAAGCCCUUCCUUCAUUUUGGCAUAAUCUCGUAACUACAUGUGUUUGAUGACGAGACAUAAAGAGAAGUUCAUACUCUCGAAUUUAUAUACAUUAUACUAGUCUUAUAAGUUACAAUAUUCACCCUUAUUGGGACUUUGUAUUCAAUUGAGUAUUAACUUCUUCUAGUCAAGAAAGCAAAGGGUAUAUAUAUAUAUAUACAAUAUUACAGUAUUUUCACUACCACCGAGCUAUAAUCGGUGUUCAGGCCCCUAUUAGGCAACCUCUGAUCAGAUGGUAAGUUAUAUACCGAGCCUAUUGGGGCCGAGCACCUAUGAGCGAGCCCAAAAUGGCUUAGACACAGAGCCUAGUAUGGUCGAGCGCCUAUGAACGAGCCUACAACGGCAGAGCAGUUACAUGUUCCGAGCCUUAUAUGGCCGGACAUUUAUUUUACUUACUAUAUUGAGAGAGUUGAUUAAGUAUCAGUAGGUAAGUAUAUCUCCAAAUCAUCUUUGUCUCCCAGUUACUUUCAGUUAUCAUAUUAUCAAUUUAGUUUCAGCUUUUAGUUAUUUUAUUACCUUACAUACUCGGUACAUUAUUUUGUACUGAUGUCCCUUUUCUGGGGGUGCUGCAUUUCAUGCGUGCAGGUGUAGACAGACAAACGGGUAGACCUCCUUAGUAGGUGUUGCCUGAGUUCAGCCUGAUCAGUAAGCUCCAUGUCCUUCGGAGUUGUCGGGUCUAGAGUUUCGUGUACAUAUUAUGUAUAUAUGUAUAUAUGUUAUGGGUAGGUCGGGGCCCUGUUCCGAUUACCAUACAUACAUCAGUAGAGGCUUGUAGACAUAUCCUAUUAGUUAGUGCAAUAUGUUGAGCUUGUAGGCCUUGUAUGUAUAUUUUGUUGGUUGUCAGCUGUAGUAGCUAUAACGGCCUUGUCAGCGCAACUUUAUAUUGAUGUUUAGUCAGCGCUAGCUUCUGUUCAGUUUUAUAUUUUUCUUUGUAAAUUGUCUUGGAAUGUAG
rnacentral:lncRNA from 1 species